UACAGAGGUCUCAAGCGUUGUUCGGAUUCAUUGGGCGUAAAGGGUGCGUAGGUGGCGCCGUAAGUCGGGUGUGAAAUUUCGGAGCUUAACUCCGAAACUGCAUUCGAUACUGCGGUGCUUGAGGACUGGAGAGGAGACUGGAAUUCAUGGUGUAGCAGUGAAAUGCGUAGAGAUCAUGAGGAAGACCAGUGGCGAAGGCGGAUCUCUGGACAGUUACUGACACUGAGGCACGAAGGCCAGGGGAGCAAACGGG
rnacentral:rRNA from 1 species